rnacentral:miRNA from 1 species
AGGGAGGGUGUGGUAUGGAUGU